CCAGACUCCUACGGGAGGCAGCAGUGGGGAAUAUUGCACAAUGGGGGGAACCCUGAUGCAGCAAUGCCGCGUGAAGGAUGAAGGUUUUCGGAUUGUAAACUUCUUUUGUACGGGACGAAGAAAGUGACGGUACCGUAAGAAUAAGCCACGGCUAACUACGUGCCAGCAGCCGCGGUAAUACGUAGGUGGCAAGCGUUAUCCGGAUUUACUGGGUGUAAAGGGCGUGUAGGCGGGAUGGUAAGUCAGAUGUGAAAACUAUGGGCUCAACCCAUAGCCUGCAUUUGAAACUAUCGUUCUUGAGUGUUGGAGAGGCAGGCGGAAUUCCGUGUGUAGCGGUGAAAUGCGUAGAUAUACAGAGGAACACCAGUGGCGAAGGCGGCCUGCUGGACAAUAACUGACGCUGAGGCGCGAAAGCGUGGGGAGCAAACAGGAUUAGAUACCCCCGUAAAG
rnacentral:rRNA from 1 species